CCAUCUCCCUCUCCAUCUCUCUCUCUCACUCUCUCUCCAUCUCUCUCUCCCUCUAUCUCUCUCUCUCUCUGUCUCUCUCAUCUUUCUCUCCUCCCCCUCUCUCUGUCAGAUAGUUGGAGAGUUAUUGUCAAAACACUGUGACAAAACAAACGACUUUGCUCUGCAUGAUCACAUGGUCUACCUGAUUAAUAUUACAGUGCAGGUGAUAUUGGGAAUUGAUUAUGUCACAUGCUACAGGAAACUUCAUCAAGCAUAAUCAAAUUCCCUAUAUCCUUCUCUCUCCCCUCUCUCUCUCCUCUUUCCUGCCCCCCUCUCUCUCUCUCUCUCUCUACUCUUUCUCCUCUCUCUCUCUCUUUGUCUGCCCCUCUCUCCUCUCUUUCCUUCUACCUCUCUCUCAUUGUCUGACCCUCUCUUUCUCUCUCUCUCUCUCUCUCUCCCUCUCUCUCUCUCUCUCUCUCUCUCUCUCUCUUUCUGUUUUAUUCUCUCUAUCAUGCCAGGUAUAGGAGCAGGUGAACCAGCUAUGUCAGGUAUACAGUAGGAGCAGGUGAACCAGCUAUGUCAGGUAUACAGUAGGAGCAGGUGAACCAGCUAUGUCAGGUAUACAGUAGGAGCAGGUGAAUCAGCUAUGUCAGGUAUACAGUAGGAGCAGGUGAAUCAGCUAUGUCAGGUAUACAGUAGGAGCAGGUGAACCAGCUAUGUCAGGUAUACAGUAGGAGCAGGUGAACCAGCUAUGUCAGGUAUACAGUAGGAGCAGGUGAACCAGCUAUGUCAGGUAUACAGUAGGAGCAGGUUAAUCAGCUAUGUCAGGUAUACAGUAGGAGCAGGUGAACCAGCUAUGUCAGGUAUACAGUAAGAGCAGGUGUACCAGCUAUGUCAGGUAUACAGUAGGAGCAGGUGAACCAGCUAUGUCAGGUAUACAGUAGGAGCAGGUGAACCAGCUAUGUCAGGUAUACAGUAGGAGCAGGUGAACCAGCUAUGUCAGGUAUACAGUAGGAGCAGGUGAACCAGCUAUGUCAGGUAUAUAGUAGGAGCAGGUGAACCAGCUAUGUCAGGUAUAGGAGCAGGUGAACCAGCUAUGUCAGGUAUACAGUAGGAGCAGGUGAACCAGCUAUGUCAGGUAUACAGUUGGAGCAGGUGUACCAGCUAUGUCAGGUAUACAGUAGGAGCAGGUGAACCAGCUAUGUCAGGUAUACAGUAAGAGCAGGUGAACCAGCUAUGUCAGGUAUACAGUAGGAGCAGGUGAAUCAGCUAUGUCAGGUAUACAGUAGGAGCAGGUGUACCAGCUAUGUCAGGUAUACAGUAGGAGCAGGUGAACCAGCUAUGUCAGGUAUACAGUAGGAGCAGGUGUACCAGCUAUGUCAGGUAUACAGUAGGAGCAGGUGAACCAGCUAUGUCAGGUAUACAGUAGGAGCAGGUGAACCAGCUAUGUCAGGUAUACAGUAGGAGCAGGUGUACCAGCUAUGUCAGGUAUACAGCAGGAGCAGGUGAACCAACUGAUGGGAUAUAACCACACAUUGUGCCACAAGGCCGUCCGUUUAGUUUGCCUUGUGUCAUUCUGCCUCUAUCUUAUUGAAUGUAACUUCUGACGUUCCUUCUUCUCUCUUGUUUUCUAAACCACCACUGUUGAGCUGCCUCCUCCUCAUGGUGCUAUGAAGCAUCAACAUUAUCAUUUAGACUUUGGUCUUGAUUACUUCCAGAAAUGACAGGAAAGAAAUGCAAACUAGACUACUGACCCUCUUGAUGAAUGUAUAUUAUAUUAUUAUUAUUCUGUUAUGUUUGAUGUAGUUAUUCGUUAUUUAAAUACAUUUGAUUGGGAUUUUACUUUGUGAUCAUUUGGUUGACAGAAUAUGUAGCUUUAUAUGAUGAUACUGCCUAGAGUUGUUACCAGAAGGGUCUCGAAGGACUCUUGACACAGCAAAAUCUUGUAUAUUUUUUGUGUGCCAAUUUGUAACAUAUUUUGUAAGUGUAUAUUUUUCUUAGAAAGUGCUGUGAAGUAUUUGUGUGUGAGUAACCUUUUAUCCCCUGUACAGGCAGUGGAAAGGAUGUACAAUAAAAUGCUUCUGGGUUUAAAAACCCAAAUAUGAAAGAAACAACAAUGUGAAAUAUCUCCAUUUUGAUGGGAGUUUUGAAAUAAUAAGAUGUUGCUCUUGUUGUGAGAGUGUUGUGUUGUUGUGAGAGUGUUGUGUUGUUGUGAGAGUGUUGUGUUGUUGUGAGAGUGUUGUGUUGUUGUGAGAGUGUUGUGUUGUUGUGAGAGUGCUGUGUUGUUGUGAGAGUGUUGUGUUGUUGUGCAAAACACAAAUAAGCAAAGAAAAAAACAUCUGGACUGGAAAAAAUAUUCAACAUUUGUGAGCAGUUUGCUGUUUUAUAGAAUUUCAUGUAAAUGAUUUGAGUUUUAUUCCGUUUUUAUGGUGUAACUGUUGCAAAGGUUUGACAUAUUUGUGAUCCAGCCUGUAUGGUGACAAUGUAAUAUUAGUGACUUGCUGAGUUUAGGAAUAAUGUUUAUGGAGUAAAUAUAAACAUUAAAAUAAUAUUUUGAACGCUGCUUUCUGAAGAGA